rnacentral:rRNA from 1 species
AACGAACGCUGGCGGCAGGCCUAACACAUGCAAGUCGAGCGAGGACUUCGGUUCUAGCGGCGGACGGGUGAGUCACGCGUGGGAAUGUGCCCUUCUCUACGGAAUAGCCCUGGGAAACUGGGAGUAAUACCGUAUACGCCCUAUUGGGGAAAGAUUUAUCGGAGAAGGAUCAGCCCGCGUUGGAUUAGGUUGUUGGUGGGGUAAUGGCCUACCAAGCCGACGAUCCAUAGCUGGUUUGAGAGGCUCAUCAGCCACACUGGGACUGAGACGCGGCCCAGAAUCCUACGGGAGGCGGCAGUGGGGGAUCUUGGACAAUGGGGGCAACCCUGAUCUAGCCAUGCCGCGUGAGUGAUGAAGGCCUUAGAGUUGUAAAGCUCUUUCAGCUGGGAAGAUAAUGACGGUACCAGCAGAAGAAGCCCCGGCUAACUCCGUG